UACGGAGGGAGCAAGCGUUACUCGGAAUUAUUGGGCGUAAAGGGCGCGUAGGCGAUUCGGUGAGUCUCGUGUGAAAGCCCAGGGCUUAACCCUGGAAUGGCACGGGAUACUGUCGAAUUUGAGUUCCGGAGAGGAAGGCAGAAUUCCCGGUGUAGCGGUGAAAUGCGUAGAUAUCGGGAGGAAUACCAGUGGCGAAGGCGGCCUUCUGGACGGAUACUGACGCUGAGGCGCGAAAGCCAGGGGAGCAAACGGG
rnacentral:rRNA from 1 species